rnacentral:lncRNA from 1 species
CAUCUCUUCCAGCUCAAUGUCCCAGGAGCUGACUCAGCUCCAGACUCAUCGUCCCUAAGGCCCUUUGUGAAUAGCUCCCUCUGAGGAGUCCACAUGUUUCCCAUGGGGAUUGGAAAUUCUCAUUCCCAAGGUCUUUGGACCUCUCAUUAUCAGAACCUAAGGAAGAAUUCACGCAAAAACAGUUUACAGUCUUGGUUUCAGGUUGUUGCUGCUCCAAAAGAGCCUGAAGUGUGAAGAAAGAAAAGAAAGAAACAGAAUGGCCUUGAGGCAAAACAAUCUACAGCAGUACUUUUUAGAUGUGUGAGCGCGCCCCGCCGCAGUGUCAUGUGGAGGAAACCGCCAUGCCCCUGUUCUCUGGAAAGUUAACCCCGUCCUUAUAGUAACUCAC